UUGGAGGGCAAGUCUGGUGCCAGCAGCCGCGGUAAUUCCAGCUCCAAUAGCGUAUAUUAAAGUUGUUGCAGUUAAAAAGCUCGUAGUUGAAUUUCGGGAUCAGAGUGUCGGUCGUGCCUCGGUACGCACUGGUAUUAUUGGUUCCUACCUUCUGAAGAACCGCGAUGUCAUUAAUUUGGUGUCGUGGGGAAUCAGGACUGUUACUUUGAAAAAAUUAGAGUGUUUAAAGCAGGCUUACGCUUGAAUACAUUAGCAUGGAAUAAUGAAAUAGGACGUUCGAUCUUAUUUUGUUGGUUUCUAGGAUUGACGUAAUGAUUAAUAGGGAUAGUUGGGGGCAUUAGUAUUCAAUUGUCAGAGGUGAAAUUCUUGGAUUUAUUGAAGACUAACUACUGCGAAAGCAUUUGCCAAGGAUGUUUUCAUUAAUCAAGAACGAAAGUUAGGGGAUCGAAGGCGAUCAGAUACCGUCGUAGUCUUAACCAUAAACUAUGCCGACUAGGGAACGGAUGAUGUUAAUUUUUUAAUGACUCAUUCGGCGCCUUACGGGAAACCAAAGUGUUUGGGUUC
rnacentral:rRNA from 1 species